rnacentral:rRNA from 1 species
CACGCCGUAAACGAUGAGUGCUCAGUGUUAGAGGGUUUCCGCCCUUUAGUGCUGCAGCUAACGCAUUAAGCACUCCGCCUGGGGAGUACGGCCGCAAGGCUGAAACUCAAAGGAAUUGACGGGGGCCCGCACAAGCGGUGGAGCAUGUGGUUUAAUUCGAAGCAACGCGAAGAACCUUACCAGGUCUUGACAUCCUCUGACAACCCUAGAGAUAGGGCUUUCCCCUUCGGGGGACAGAGUGACAGGUGGUGCAUGGUUGUCGUCAGCUCGUGUCGUGAGAUGUUGGGUUAAGUCCCGCAACGAGCGCAACCCUUGAUCUUAGUUGCCAGCAUUCUGUUGGGCACUCUAAAGUGACUGCCGGUGACACAUCGGAUGGAUGUGGUGUUUAUGUAUAUUAGAAAACG